CAUGGCGAAGCUGACGGAGCACGCCGCGUGAGCGAAGAAGGCUUCGGGUCGUAAAGCUCUGUUGUUAGGGAAGAACAAGUACCGUUCAAAUAGGGCGGUACCUUGACGGUACCUAACCAGAAAGCCACGGCUAACUACGUGCCAGCAGCCGCGGUAAUACGUAGGUGGCAAGCGUUGUCCGGAAUUAUUGGGCGUAAAGCGCGCGCAGGCGGUUUCUUAAGUCUGAUGUGAAAGCCCACGGCUCAACCGUGGAGGGUCAUUGGAAACUGGGGAACUUGAGUGCAGAAGAGGAGAGUGGAAUUCCACGUGUAGCGGUGAAAUGCGUAGAGAUGUGGAGGAACACCAGUGGCGAAGGCGACUCUCUGGUCUGUAACUGACGCUGAGGCGCGAAAGCGUGGGGAGCGAACAGGAUUAGAUACCCUGGUAGUCCACGCCGUAAACGAUGAGUGCUAAGUGUUAGAGGGUUUCCGCCCUUUAGUGCUGCAGCAAACGCAUUAAGCACUCCGCCUGGGGAGUACGGUCGCAAGACUGAAACUCAAAGGAAUUGACGGGGGCCCGCACAAGCGGUGGAGCAUGUGGUUUAAUUCGAAGCAACGCGAAGAACCUUACCAGGUCUUGACAUCCUUCGCUACUUCUAGAGAUAGAAGGUUCCCCUUCGGGGGACGGAGUGACAGGUGGUGCAUGGUUGUCGUCAGCUCGUGUCGUGAGAUGUUGGGUUAAGUCCCGCAACGAGCGCAACCCUUGAUCUUAGUUGCCAGCAUUCAGUUGGGC
rnacentral:rRNA from 1 species